GCUGUUAAGGGUUCGUAGUUGAACUUGGAGUAGAGAGAAUUGAGCACUUUGGUGCUCUUUUCCUCUUCUCCGUCAUAGACGGGACCUAGUCUUGCUGAAGCACUCUUUAAUUGGCAGUGUCGAGCUCUCGCCGAAGAGGUGGGAUAUACACGUGUGACACACGUCUAUUGACUGUCCGUCGUAUCACUGUGAAGAAAACAGCGUGUUCAAUGCCGCCGAUAUCGGCUGAAUGACAAGCAUGGAAUGACAGAGCAUCGACCAAUUGGUCCGUCUUCUGUUGGUUUGUACGACAAAUUUGGGUACUCGUUCGCGAGCGUCUCCGGAGCGCCGACAAGGUGCACUGGAUUCCUCGAUGACACGGGAUUAAUGGGGGUUGUCGGGGGAAAACGUAUCUGAGCGUGAGAGGUGAAAUUCUUGACCGCUCGGGGACGAACUUAUGCGAAGGCAUUUUCCAAGUAUACCUUCAUCAAUCAGAACUAAAGUGUGGAGAUCGAAGAUGAUUAGAUACCAUUGUAGUCC
rnacentral:rRNA from 1 species